AUGACUACUACAGUCUUCAAUACUUCUGCACCAGUUAAGGAAGUACCAGCAGAAAAGAUGGAUAAGAUAUUGGAUAAAGGAGUGGAAAGUUUCCUCUUACAAGUGCACAACAUAUUGAUGGAAGCACCAGAAGGCACACAAACUCCUCCUCAAAUACAAAAGUUACUGCUAGAAUAUGCUGAUCUGUUUGAGGAACCUAAGUCUUUGCCACCUAAAAGGGCUUUGGACCAUACUAUUCCCUUAGUUCCUGGUGCAACUCCACCUCAUGUGAGACCUUAUAGAGUUCCUCAACAUCAAAAACAAGAAAUGGAGGAUCAGAUUAAGAAACUGCUAGCAGCUCACCUCAUCAGGCACAGUCAAAGUCCUUAUGCAGCUCCUGUUAUACUAGUAAGGAAGAAGGAUAGUUCAAUGAGGUUAUGCACUGAUUUUAGGAAACUUAAUUCUUUAACAAUUAAGAACAAGUUUCCUAUACCAGUGAUUGAAGAUCUCUUAGAUGAAUUGCAUGGUGCUCAAUAUUUUUCUAAGAUUGAUCUCAGAUCAGGCUAUCACCAGAUCAGAAUGCAUCCUGAUGAUAUACAAAAAACUGCAUUUAGGACAUUUUUGGGCCACUUUGAAUAUUUAGUUAUGCCUUUUGGGUUGUCAAAUGCACUUGGCACCUUUCAAGCCCUAAUGAACAACAUUUUUGGGUCAUACUUGAGGAAUUUUGUAUUGGUGUUCUUUGAUGAUAUUUUAAUUUACAGCAAAAAUCUCAAGGAACACCAGGAACACUUGAAGAUAGUGUUGCAAAUACUAAAAGAACAUCAGCUGUUUGCAAAGAUGUCCAAGUGUGUCUUUGCUGUCCAACAAGUAGAAUACUUAGGACAUGUAAUAUCUGCAGAAGGAGUAGCUACAGAUCCCAAGAAAAUAGCUGCUAUUGCUGAAUGGCCAACACCUGACUCUAUUACUAAACUGAGAAGUUUCUUGGGUUUAGCUGGGUAUUACAGAAGGUUCAUCAAAGGAUAUGGAGCAAUUUGCAGACCUUUGCAUGAUUUGCUAAAGAAAGGACAAUUUGCAUGGAAACAGGAACACAACCAAGCUUUUGUCCAGUUAAAACAAGCCUUGAUCACAGCACCUAUCUUAGCACUGCCAAAUUUCUCCUUACCUUUUGUAUUGAAAACAGAUGCUUUAGGCAGAGGAAUAGGAGCUGUGCUCAUGCAACAGGGCAGGCCCAUAGCUUACUAUAGUUCAGCCCUGUGUCCGAGAAAUGCAGCCAUGUCUACAUAUGAGAAGGAAGCAUUAGCUAUAUUAGAAGCAUUAAAAAAAUGGAGGCACUACCUGCUAGGGAAUGAACUCACUAUCAAGACAGAUCAGUAG
rnacentral:rRNA from 1 species